rnacentral:rRNA from 1 species
ACUAGUCCUAGCCCAUUAUAACCCCUCAAUUCAAUUACAAAUUUACCUGUUAAAUAAAACAUUCACCUAGAUAAAAGUAUAGGAGAUAGAAAUUCUUAAUUGGAGCAAUAGAGCUAGUACCGUAAGGGAAAGAUGAAAGAAUAAACUAAUAGUACAACAAAGCAAAGAUUAACCCUUUUACCUUCUGCAUAAUGAAUUAACUAGAAACAACUUCGCAAAAUGAAUUUAAGUCAAGAACCCCGAAACCAGACGAGCUACUUAUGAGCAGCUAUUAGAGCUAAUCCGUCUAUGUUGCAAAAUAGUGGAACGACUUGUAAGUAGAGGUGAAAAGCCUAUCGAGCCUGGUGAUAGCUGGUUAUCCAGAUAAGAAUUUUAGUUCAACUUUAAAUUUACUCCAAGCAUUAAUAAUCCCAAAAGUAAAUUUAAUUGUUAGUCUAAAGAGGGACAGCUCUUUAGACAUAGGAAACAACCUUCAUUAGAGAGUAAAUUCUAUAAAUCCCAUAGUUGGCCUAAAAGCAGCCACCAAUUAAAAAAGCGUUCAAGCUUAAAACAUAAAAACUUAAUUCCUUAAUUUAUAGUAAUCUCCUAAAUUUACACUGGAUUAAUCUAUUAAUAACUAUAGAAGAAAUAAUGUUAGUAUAAGUAACAAGAAAUUUUUUUCUCCCUGCAUAAGCUUAUAUCAGCUCGAAUGAAUCACUGAUAGUUAACAAACCUAUAAUAUAAAACAAAUAAUUCCAUCAUUAUUAUUACUAAUGUUAACCCGACACCGGCAUGCACACAAGGGAAAGAUUAAAAGAAGUAAAAGGAACUCGGCAAACACUAACCCCGCCUGUUUACCAAAAACAUCACCUCUAGCAUUAAUAGUAUUAGAGGCAUUGCCUGCCCAGUGACAUACGUUUAACGGCCGCGGUAUCCUGACCGUGCAAAGGUAGCAUAAUCACUUGUUCCUUAAAUAGGGACUUGCAUGAAUGGCUAAACGAGGGUUUAUCUGUCUCUUACUUCCAAUCAGUGAAAUUGACCUCCCCGUGAAGAGGCGGGGAUAAAUAAAUAAGACGAGAAGACCCUAUGGAGCUUUAAUCUAACUAGCUCAAGCAAUAACCAACAUUACUUUCUACAAGAAAACAAACUCCAUUGCCUAUGAACUAUAGAUUUUGGUUGGGGUGACCUCGGAGCAUAAUCAACCCUCCGAAUGAUUUUAAUCUAGACUUACCCGUCUAAAUUUUUAUUCAUCAAUUGACCCAAACUAUUGAUCAACGGAACAAGUUACCCUAGGGAUAACAGCGCAAUCCUACUCAAGAGUCCAUAUCGACAGUAGGGUUUACGACCUCGAUGUUGGAUCAGGACAUCCAAAUGGUGCAACCGCUAUUAAUGGUUCGUUUGUUCAACGAUUAAAGUCCUACGUGAUCUGAGUUCAGACCGGAGUAAUCCAGGUCGGUUUCUAUCUAUUUAAUAUUUCUCCCAGUACGAAAGGACAAGAGAAAUAAGGCCAAUACUCACAAUCAUGCCUUAAAGCAAAUAGAUGAUAUUAUCUCAAUCUAAUAAUCUAUUUUAAAACUCGCCCUAGAUACAGGGCUU